CUUUAACAAUCUGGAACAAGCUGAAAAUUGAAACAUGACGGCUGAAACUUGUCCCUCCGUAGAAGUUUGGGAUGAGGAGUAACCUGUCAUAGAGUCUCUCAAAUGUUUUACAACCCUUAGCAGGUUGAGCGAGCCAAGU
rnacentral:sRNA from 1 species